rnacentral:rRNA from 1 species
ACAUUACGGGAGGCAGCAGUGGGGAAUAUUGCACAAUGGGCGCAAGCCUGAUGCAGCGACGCCGCGUGGGGGAUGACGGCCUUCGGGUUGUAAACCUCUUUCAGCAGGGAAGAAGCGUGAGUGACGGUACCUGCAGAAGAAGCGCCGGCUAACUACGUGCCAGCAGCCGCGGUAAUACGUAGGGCGCGAGCGUUGUCCGGAAUUACUGGGCGUAAAGCGUGCGCAGGCGGUUUUGUAAGUCUGACGUGAAAUCCCCGGGCUCAACCUGGGAAUUGCGUUGGAGACUGCAAGGCUAGAAUCUGGCAGAGGGGGGUAGAAUUCCACGUGUAGCAGUGAAAUGCGUAGAGAUGUGGAGGAACACCGAUGGCGAAGGCAGCCCCCUGGGCCAACACUGACGCUCAGGCACGAAAGCGUGGGGAGCACCACAGGAUUAGAUACCCUGGUAGUCCACGCCCUAAACGAUGUCGACUAGGCGUUGGGGAAGCGAUUCCUUGGUGCCGUAGCUAACGCGUGAAGUCGACCGCCUGGGGAGUACGGCCGCCAAGGUUAAAACUCAAAGGAAUUG